rnacentral:rRNA from 1 species
UACGUAGGGUGCAAGCGUUGUCCAGAAUUAUUGGGCGUAAAGAGCUCGUAGGCGGUUCGUCGCGUCGGCUGUGAAAACCCGGAGCUCAACUCCGGGCCUGCAGUCGAUACGGGCGGACUUGAGUGUUGCAGGGGAGACUGGAAUUCCUGGUGUAGCGGUGAAAUGCGCAGAUAUCAGGAGGAACACCGGUGGCGAAGGCGGGUCUCUGGGCAACUACUGACGCUGAGGAGCGAAAGCGUGGGGAGCGAACAGG